rnacentral:rRNA from 1 species
GAGGCUACCGCUAUUGGAGUUCGAUUAAGCCAUGCGAGUCGAGAGUCCUCGGGACUCGGCGUACCGCUCAGUAACACGUGGGUAACCUGCCCUAUGCUGGGGAAUAACCUCGGGAAACUGAGAAUAAUGCCCCAUAGCCCACUACGCCUGGAACGGUGAGUGGGUCAAAGCCCCGGCGGCAUAGGAUGGGCCUGCGCCGUAUCAGGUUGUAGGGGGUGUAAAGUACCCUCUAGCCAUCAACGCGUACGGGUGUUGGGAGACAUUGCCCGGAGAUGGAUUCUGAGACACGAAUCCAGACCCUACGGGGUGCAGCAGGCGCGAAAACUUGGCAAUGCGAGAAAUCGUGACCAGGGAACUCCAAGUGCGUAGGGUAAGACCCACGCUUUUCUUGACUCUUCAAAGGUCUUGGAAUAAGGGGUGGGUAAGGACGGUGCCAGCCGCCGCGGUAAUACCGGCGCCUCAAGUGGUAGUCGCUUUUAUUGGGCCUAAAACGUCCGUAGCCGGUCUGGUGCAUUCGUGGGUAAAUCAACCCGCUCAACGGGUUGAAUUCUGCGAGCACGGCCAGACUUGGGACCGGGAGAGGUGUGGGGUACUCUCAGGGUAGGGGGUAAAAUCCUGUCAUCCUGAGAGGACCACCUGUUGCGAAGGCGCCACACUAGAACGGAUCCGACGGUCAGGGACGAAACCUAGGGGCACGAACCGGAUUAGAUACCCGGGUAGUCCUAGGUGUAAACGCUGUGGACUUGAUGUUGGGGGCGCUCCGAGCGCUCUCAGUGUCGAA